CAGGGUGUAGCUCAGUUGGCCUAGAGUGCCGGGCUGGGGGUCCGGAGAUCGGAGGUUCAAAUCCUCUCACCCUGA
rnacentral:tRNA from 1 species